rnacentral:rRNA from 1 species
ACGCUCGACACCUACGGGAGGCAGCAGUGGGGAAUAUUGGGCAAUGGGCGAAAGCCUGACCCAGCAACGCCGCGUGAGGGAAGAAGGUUUUCGGAUUGUAAACCUCUGUCCUCAGGGACGAAGGACGUGACGGUACCUGAGGAGGAAGCCCCCGGCUAACUACGUGCCAACAGCCGCGGUAAUCUGAGCGGGCUGGCAAGGC